rnacentral:rRNA from 1 species
UGGGGAAUUUUGGACAAUGGGCGAAAGCCUGAUCCAGCAAUGCCGCGUGUGUGAAGAAGGCCUUCGGGUUGUAAAGCACUUUUGUCCGGAAAGAAAUCCUUGGCUCUAAUACAGUCGGGGGAUGACGGUACCGGAAGAAUAAGCACCGGCUAACUACGUGCCAGCAGCCGCGGUAAUACGUAGGGUGCAAGCGUUAAUCGGAAUUACUGGGCGUAAAGCGUGCGCAGGCGGUUUGCUAAGACCGAUGUGAAAUCCCCGGGCUCAACCUGGGAACUGCAUUGGUGACUGGCAGGCUAGAGUAUGGCAGAGGGGGGUAGAAUUCCACGUGUAGCAGUGAAAUGCGUAGAGAUGUGGAGGAAUACCGAUGGCGAAGGCAGCCCCCUGGGCCAAUACUGACGCUCAUGCACGAAAGCGUGGGGAGCAAACAGGAUUAGAUACCCUGGGUAGUCCACGCCCUAAACGAUGUCAACUAGUUGUUGGGGAUUCAUUUCCUUAGUAACGUAGCUAACGCGUGAAGUUGACCGCCUGGGGGAGUACGGUCGCAAGAUUAAAACUCAAAGGAAUUGACGGGGUCAUAGCUGUUUCCU